CGGUCACUUCCAGGAACCCGGCCUCUGGCUGUGCCAGCCCGGCGGUCAGAGCGCGCGGAGAGGUUCCCAGAAAUCACACGCGCCCUGGAGCGGAGACAGUCCCCACCCGGGCGGCCUGGGCAUCACUGUUUUCGUCUCAUCACCGGCCCCAGGCCACCCUCUCCUGACGCUGCCCCCUGGCCCCCAGCCCCUGACCCUGGGAAGAAAGUCAGCGCAGACACAUUGGAGCUGCCUCGGGUACAGCAGCCAAGGCCGACCUCGCCUUCCCUCAUUGCAAGCUCUCUCCUCCUUGCAAGCUGUCUGCUCAACUGUUAAGCUCUCUCUCUUUUGUGGAGGCCUCUGCCCUUUCUCUCUGGCCUCAUUUCCUUACAAAGUCAGACCAGGACUCCUCCAUGCGCAGUGACAGAAACCUGUCUGAAAACAGCUUAAGCCAAAAGAGAUUUUGUUGGUUUGCAUCACAAGGAAGUCAGAGGUGGAGCAGGCCUCACUGGGAGCUGGAAGGAAGACUCCAGCAGUGUGUGCUGUCUCUCUUCUCCUCUGGGAUCUGCGUGGGACUCUGUGUGGGCCUGGGACUGACAGUCCGCUCCCUAUGUGGCUAGGCCUGUAACGGGAACCCGGCAGCAGUGGGUGGUGGCCUGCACGGGGCUAAGCCAGGUGGCAGGGUUCUCCCUGGAGUCUGGGGCCCUUAGCGUCUGAUCCAGUCCUUCCUGCGGCGGCUGCACCGUGACCUCCACUUUCUACAACACCCCUGCAAGCAUAGGGUAAAGGCUCCUUUGCUGAGUGUGAUUCAAGCUGAUUACUUUACUUGCAACGAAGAGUCUGGACUCACACAGGUCUCUGGGCAGAGCCGGCUCCAUCCCAGGCCUCUCUGCUUGUCCAAGAGACAGUGCUCGGGGAGCAAGGAGGAGAAGAGGAGGGACCCAGACACGCCCGGCCUCCAGCUCUGCAAACCUCUCCUCCCCACCGCUGUGAGACAGGGGAGUGGCUUAGCUCUCCUCUGACUCCAGGCCUGGACCAGGUCCCAGGAGGGCCUGUCAAGAUUCUGGGGGGAGGUGCUGAAGUAGGCAGAGAUGUUUGAGUAGCUGUCAGUGUAGCAGCAUCUUGCCCAGGCUCAGAAGUUUCUGGUGACCACCCAGCAGCCGCCUUCCAGCUCCACCAGCUGCAGGGUACAGCUGGUCCCGGCUCGGAGCAGGCGCUGCCAGCAGCAAAGUCCCAUCUUGGAGCUGCACAUCUGUGCGACUGCUGACCAGAAGCUCUAGAGUCAACGGGACCACAUGAGAAAACAGGUGGAGGCAGGUGCCAGACCAUCAUCCUGGGGCUGCCCCACACCUGAGCUGGAAGGACGGAACUGGCAGCCUGAGCCUGCCUGUCAUGUCUGUCCUGUCUUGACCCAAGAUUGAAGCAAGUGGUCCCAGAGGUGGCCCAGCAAAGACCCACAGAUCGCUAUUUCUCUGGUGGCCACAUGGCCUACCUGUGAAGGUCCCUCCCUGGAGAAACUACCCAAAGGCUGGGAAAUAAACAUUUUUGGCUCCAAGAACAGCU
rnacentral:lncRNA from 1 species